UUGAAGAAUUUGACGACUUCAACUUUCAAACUUGAAAAAUUUAAAGUCUUCUACUUGCAUACUUGGAGAUUUUUAAGACUUCAUCU
rnacentral:pre_miRNA from 1 species